AGAGUUUGAUCAUGGCUCAGAUUGAACGCUGGCGGCAUGCCUUACACAUGCAAGUCGAACGGUAACAGGUCUUCGGAUGCUGACGAGUGGCGAACGGGUGAGUAAUACAUCGGAACGUGCCCAGUAAUGGGGGAUAGCUCGGCGAAAGCCGGAUUAGUACCGCAUACGCCCUGAGGGGGAAAGUGGGGGACCGCAAGGCCUCACGUUAUUGGAGCGGCCGAUGGCUGAUUAGCUAGUUGGUAGGGUAAAGGCCUACCAAGGCGACGAUCAGUAGCUGGUCUGAGAGGACGAUCAGCCACACUGGGACUGAGACACGGCCCAGACUCCUACGGGAGGCAGCAGUGGGGAAUUUUGGACAAUGGGGGAAACCCUGAUCCAGCAAUGCCGCGUGUGCGAAGAAGGCCUUCGGGUUGUAAAGCACUUUUGUCAGGGAAGAAAUCCUUUGGGCUAAUACCCUAAGGGGAUGACGGUACCUGAAGAAUAAGCACCGGCUAACUACGUGCCAGCAGCCGCGGUAAUACGUAGGGUGCAAGCGUUAAUCGGAAUUACUGGGCGUAAAGCGUGCGCAGGCGGUUGUGUAAGACAGGUGUGAAAUCCCCGGGCUUAACCUGGGAAUUGCAUUUGUGACUGCACGACUAGAGUGUGUCAGAGGGGGGUGGAAUUCCACGUGUAGCAGUGAAAUGCGUAGAUAUGUGGAGGAACACCAAUGGCGAAGGCAGCCCCCUGGGAUAACACUGACGCUCAUGCACGAAAGCGUGGGGAGCAAACAGGAUUAGAUACCCCGGUAGUCC
rnacentral:rRNA from 1 species